CCUACGGGAGGCAGCAGUGGGGAAUAUUGCACAAUGGGGGAAACCCUGAUGCAGCGACGCCGCGUGAGUGAAGAAGGAUUUCGGGAUGUAAAGCUCUAUCAGCAGGGAAGAAAAUGACGGUACCUGAGCAAGAAGCCCCGGCUAACUACGUGCCAGCAGCCGCGGUACUACGUAGGGGGCAAGCGUUAUCCGGAUUUACUGGGUGUAAAGGGGGCGUAGGCGGCAAUGCAAGUCUGGAGUGAAAGUCGGGGGCUCAACCACCGGACUGCUCUUGAAACUGUACGGCUGGAGUGCAGGAGGGGUAGGCGGAAUUCCUAGUGUAGCGGUGAAAUGCGUAGAUAUUAGGAGGAACACCGGUGGCGAAGGCGGCUUACUGGACUGUAACUGACGUUGAGGCACGAAAGCGUGGGGAGCAAACAGGAUUAGAUACCCGUGUAGUC
rnacentral:rRNA from 1 species